GCCGGAGUGGUGAAAUUGGUAGACACGCUACCUUGAGGGGGUAGUGGGGCAACCCGUGCUGGUUCGAGUCCAGUCUCCGGUACCA
rnacentral:tRNA from 6 species